ACCGUAUUCUGUGAGUUGCGAACGGGUGAGUAACGCGUAGGUAACCUGCCUGGUAGCGGGGGAUAACUAUUGGAAACGAUAGCUAAUACCGCAUAAGAACAUUUACUGCAUGGUAGAUGUUUAAAAGGUGCAAAUGCAUCACUACCAGAUGGACCUGCGUUGUAUUAGCUAGUAGGUGAGGUAACGGCUCACCUAGGCGACGAUACAUAGCCGACCUGAGAGGGUGAUCGGCCACACUGGGACUGAGACACGGCCCAGACUCCUACGGGAGGCAGCAGUAGGGAAUCUUCGGCAAUGGGGGGAACCCUGACCGAGCAACGCCGCGUGAGUGAAGAAGGUUUUCGGAUCGUAAAGCUCUGUUGUUAAGGAAGGACGAGUGUGAGAAUGGAAAGUUCAUACUGUGACGGUACUUAACCAGAAAGGGACGGCUAACUACGUGCCAGCAGCCGCGGUAAUACGUAGGUCCCGAGCGUUGUCCGGAUUUAUUGGGCGUAAAGCGAGCGCAGGCGGUUAGAUAAGUCUGAAGUUAAAGGCAGUGGCUCAACCAUUGUAGGCUUUGGAAACUGUUUAACUUGAGUGCAGAAGGGGAGAGUGGAAUUCCAUGUGUAGCGGUGAAAUGCGUAGAUAUAUGGAGGAACACCGGUGGCGAAAGCGGCUCUCUGGUCUGUAACUGACGCUGAGGCUCGAAAGCGUGGGGAGCGAACAGGAUUAGAUACCCUGGUAGUCCACGCCGUAAACGAUGAGUGCUAGGUGUUAGGUCCUUUCC
rnacentral:rRNA from 1 species